GCAGCGAUGCCUGCCCGGCUGUUGGGGUGGCGGUGACGACAGGCAGCAAAAGACCAGCUGGUCCCAGAUUCGCUGCUGGAGUGCUGGAUGGAGCCUUUCUCUGCCCUCUGUGACAUUUCCAAUUUUAGAUAAUGCCUCACAUCUCUGUCCCCCCGGGACCCCCUGGAGCCCCCAUGAUCCCUAAGAAGACAGCUUGAACCUAGUAACCUCAGUCACCUGCCUGGGGCCCCAGGGGGUCCUCCAGCUCCUCAAGGUCUGCCCUACUGUCCAGAACGAUCUCCUCUCUUAGUGGGUCCUGUGUCGGUGUCCUUUAGCCCAGUGCCAUCACUGGCAGAGAUUGUGGAGCGGAAUCCCCGGGUAGAACCAGGGGGCCGGUACCGCCCUGCAGGUUGUGAGCCCCGCUCCCGAACAGCCAUCAUUGUGCCUCAUCGUGCCCGGGAGCACCACCUGCGCCUGCUGCUCUACCACCUGCACCCCUUCUUGCAGCGCCAGCAGCUUGCUUAUGGCAUCUAUGUCAUCCACCAGGCUGGAAAUGGAACAUUUAACAGGGCAAAACUGUUGAACGUUGGGGUGCGAGAGGCCCUGCGUGAUGAAGAGUGGGACUGCCUGUUCUUGCACGAUGUGGACCUCUUGCCAGAAAAUGACCACAAUCUGUAUGUGUGUGACCCCCGGGGACCCCGCCAUGUUGCCGUUGCUAUGAACAAGUUUGGAUACAGCCUCCCGUACCCCCAGUACUUCGGAGGAGUCUCAGCACUUACUCCUGACCAGUACCUGAAGAUGAAUGGCUUCCCCAAUGAAUACUGGGGCUGGGGUGGUGAGGAUGACGACAUUGCUACCAG
rnacentral:lncRNA from 1 species